UAUUCCUUUUUAUUGUUGAGUAGUGUUCCACUAGUUGGCUAUGACAUAGUUUAUUAUCCAUUUGCCAGCUGAUGGAUGUUUAGUUUGUUUCCAUUUAGGUAGUUUUUAGCAGUUAUGAGUGAGGCUUCUAUAAACAUUCGUGUACAGGUUUUGUGAGGACAUAAGUUUUUAUUUCUCUUGGGCAAACACCUAAGAGUGAAGUUGCUGGCUGUUCUGAUAAUUGUGUGUUAGUGGUGGGGAUUGGUGGUGGAAGAGGAGUGAAUAGGCUCUCUGAUGUCCUACUGCAGGAUAGUGUUUCCUGGUCCUUCCAGCAGUGAUAGCACACCUGUAACACAUUAACAUAAUAUCAUGGGGCUGACUCCAUACUGUUUCCUGACCCCCCUCCAGGGCCAAAGGAGUUUUUCUUCUACAUUUUCCCAUCAGCAGUGGGUCUUUACCUGUGCCUGGUAGAGACAGAGUUUUCUCUGCCCCUCUCACAGAGGUUUAAGGUUUUGCUACUUAUGAGAGGAUGGUCUGGGCAGGGUGUCUGGGGUUCAUGCUUUCCCCACAGCAGCAGUCGCUGUCUUCCAGCUGGCCCGUACCACACAAGGGACUCUCUCGGGUUGUCUACUGUGCUAUCAUCUUUCUCAUGAGCACCUGCUGGGGUCCACGGAAAAGAGCCUGGGAGAUGUGGAAAGUCUUCCAGGACUGAUUUGAAAAUAGCUGAAAUAUAUCCUGAAGAAUUUUCAACUUUUCCAAAAUUCAGUGAUAAGCUAAAUUAUGAGGCUAUAGAAAUGAACCAGACUCAAUCUGGGAGGCAGACCGAGAAGAAAACGUUGGGAAAAUUACUUGAAAAUGUCUAAUUGUUAAAUAAGAAUUUUAAAUAAAAUGUUUGUUGAAAGAAUGAAUUAUAAUAGUAUGUGUAUUAAUAAUUUAAAAUUAACAUUUUUGUAUGGUGCUAUAAUAGCAUGUGUAUUAAUAAUAUAAAAUUAACUUUUUUAUAUGGUGCUUUAGAGUUAUAGUGCUUCCACAUACAUUACUCAUUUAAUUAGACUUAGGAGAGGUUUAAAGUUCCACAAAUAUGAGGCACCUGGGUGGCUUAGUGGGUUAAGCAUCUGAUUCUUGAUUUCUGCUCAGGUCAUGAUCUCACGGUCAUGAGAU